AGGGUUUUAGUUUAAUUAAAACAUCUGACUUGCAAUCAGAAAAUGUGGGGUGACACCUGCAAAUCCUA
rnacentral:tRNA from 1 species